AUUGAACGCUGGCGGCAUGCCUUACACAUGCAAGUCGAACGGUAACAGGUCUUUCGGGAUGCUGACGAGUGGCGAACGGGUGAGUAAUACAUCGGAACGUGCCUAGUAGUGGGGGAUAACUACUCGAAAGAGUGGCUAAUACCGCAUGAGAUCUAUGGAUGAAAGCAGGGGACCUUUGGGCCUUGUGCUACUAGAGCGGCCGAUGGCAGAUUAGGUAGUUGGUGGGAUAAAAGCUUACCAAGCCUACGAUCUGUAGCUGGUCUGAGAGGACGAUCAGCCACACUGGGACUGAGACACGGCCCAGACUCCUACGGGAGGCAGCAGUGGGGAAUGUUGGACAAUGGGCGCAAGCCUGAUCCAGCAAUGCCGCGUGCAGGAUGAAGGCCUUCGGGUUGUAAACUGCUUUUGUACGGAACGAAAAGUCUUGGGUUAAUACCCUGGGAUCAUGACGGUACCGUAAGAAUAAGCACCGGCUAACUACGUG
rnacentral:rRNA from 1 species